rnacentral:rRNA from 1 species
CGGCAACAGCUCAAAUUUGAAAGCUGGCCUUUGGCCCGCAUUGUAAUUUGCAGAGGAUGAUUCGGGUGCGAUACCUGGCUAAGUCCCUUGGAACAGGGCGUCAUAGAGGGUGAUAAUCCCGUAUGUGCCAGGCCGUCAAUCCCUUGUGAAUCUCCUUCGAC